rnacentral:rRNA from 1 species
AACGAACGCUGGCGGCAUGCCUAACACAUGCAAGUCGAACGAGCCCUUCGGGUCUAUUGGCGCACGGGUUCGUAACCCGUGGGAAUCUUCCCUUGUCUUCGGACUAACAGUUAGACAUGACUGCUUAUACGGGACGAGGUCGAAUACCCAAAGAUUUAUCGGGACAGAAUGUGCCCUCGUAGGAUUCGGUAGUUGGUAGGGUAAAAGCCUACCACGCCGCCGAUCCUUAGCUGGUCUGAGAGGCUGCUCAGCCACACUGAGACUGAGACGCGGCCCGGACUCUUACGCGAGGCAGCAGUGGGGAAUAUUGGAAAACGGCGGAAAGGAUGAUCGAGCACGGCCGCGUGAGUGAUGAAGGUAGGAGGGUUGUAAAGCGCUUUUAACAGGGAAGAUCAUGACAGUACCUGGAGAAUAAGCCCCGGCUAACUCCGUG